rnacentral:rRNA from 1 species
AGUUUGAUCCUGGCUCAGGAUGAACGCUAGCUACAGGCUUAACACAUGCAAGUCGAGGGGCAGCAUUGGGGUAGCAAUACUUCAGAUGGCGACCGGCGCACGGGUGAGUAACACGUAUCCAACCUGCCGCUUACUCGGGGAUAGCCUUUCGAAAGAAAGAUUAAUACCCGAUGGUAUAAAGAGUUCGCAUGUUCUCUUUAUUAAAGAAUUUUGGUAAGCGAUGGGGAUGCGUUCCAUUAGAUAGUUGGCGGGGUAACGGCCCACCAAGUCUACGAUGGAUAGGGGUUCUGAGAGGAAGGUCCCCCACAUUGGAACUGAGACACGGUNCCAAACUCCUACGGGAGGCAGCAGUGAGGAAUAUUGGUCAAUGGACGAGAGUCUGAACCAGCCAAGUAGCGUGAAGGAUGACUGCCCUAUGGGUUGUAAACUUCUUUUAUAAGGGAAUAAAGUGAGGGACGUGUCCCUUUUUGUAUGUACCUUAUGAAUAAGGAUCGGCUAACUCCGUGCCAGCAGCCGCGGUAAUACGGAGGAUCCAAGCGUUAUCCGGAUUUAUUGGGUUUAAAGGGAGCGUAGGUUGACAUAUAAGUCAGCUGUGAAAGUUUACGGCUCAACCGUGAAAUUGCAGUUGAUACUGUAUGUCUUGAGUGUACAAGAGGUGGGCGGAAUUCGUGGUGUAGCGGUGAAAUGCUUAGAUAUCACGAAGAACUCCAAUUGCGAAGGCAGCUCACUGGGGUACAACUGACACUGAGGCUCGAAAGUGUGGGUAUCAAACAGGAUUAGAUACCCUGGUAGUCCACACAGUAAACGAUGAAUACUCGCUGUUUGCGAUAUACAGUAAGCGGCCAAGCGAAAGCAUUAAGUAUUCCACCUGGGGAGUACGCCGGCAACGGUGAAACUCAAAGGAAUUGACGGGGGCCCGCACAAGCGGAGGAACAUGUGGUUUAAUUCGAUGAUACGCGAGGAACCUUACCCGGGCUUGAAUUGCAGAGGAACAUAGUUGAAAGAUUAUGGCCGCAAGGUCUCUGUGAAGGUGCUGCAUGGUUGUCGUCAGCUCGUGCCGUGAGGUGUCGGCUUAAGUGCCAUAACGGGCGCAACCCUUAUCAUUAGUUACUAACAGGUCAUGCUGAGGACUCUAGUGAGACUGCCGUCGUAAGAUGUGAGGAAGG